rnacentral:rRNA from 1 species
GAUGAACGCUGGCGGCGUGCCUAAUACAUGCAAGUCGAGCGAACAGAUGAGGAGCUUGCUCCUCUGACGUUAGCGGCGGACGGGUGAGUAACACGUGGAUAACCUACCUAUAAGACUGGGAUAACUUCGGGAAACCGGAGCUAAUACCGGAUAAUAUAUUGAACCGCAUGGUUCAAUAGUGAAAGACGGUUUUGCUGUCACUUAUAGAUGGAACCGCGCCGCAUUAGCUAGUUGGUAAGGUAACGGCUUACCAAGGCAACGAUGCGUAGCCGACCUGAGAGGGUGAUCGGCCACACUGGAACUGUGACACGGUCCAGACUCCUACGGGAGGCAGCAGUAGGGAAUCUUCCGCAAUGGGCGAAAGCCUGACGGAGCAACGCCGCGUGAGUGAUGAAGGUCUUCGGAUCGUAAAACUCUGUUAUUAGGGAAGAACAAAUGUGUAAGUAACUAUGCACGUCUUGACGGUACCUAAUCAGAAAGCCACGGCUAACUACGUG